UGCACCUGGAUCGUUCACCGUCAUGGAGCU
rnacentral:piRNA from 1 species